UACGUAGGGUGCAAGCGUUAAUCGGAAUUACUGGGCGUAAAGCGUGCGCAGGCGGUUUUGUAAGUCUGUCGUGAAAUCCCCGGGCUCAACCUGGGAAUUGCGAUGGAGACUGCAAGGCUAGAAUCUGGCAGAGGGGGGUAGAAUUCCACGUGUAGCAGUGAAAUGCGUAGAGAUGUGGAGGAACACCGAUGGCGAAGGCACCCCCUGGGUCAAGAUUGACGCUCAUGCACGAAAGCGUGGGGAGCAAACAGGAUUAGAAAACCCCGAGUCAGUCCAAGA
rnacentral:rRNA from 1 species